UACGUAGGGGCAAGCGUUGUCCGGAAUUACUGGGCGUAAAGCGCACGCAGGCGGAAUUGUAAGUCUGUUGUAAAAUUCAGAGGCUCAACCUCUGUCUGUCGGCGGAUACUGCAAAUCUAGAGUAUGUGAGAGGGAAGUGGAAUUCCUGGUGUAGCGGUGAAAUGCGUAGAAAUCAGGAGGAAUACCAGUGGCGAAGGCGGCCUUCUGGACUGACACUGACGCUGAGGUGCGAAAGCGUGGGUAGCAAACAGGAUUAGA
rnacentral:rRNA from 1 species